rnacentral:lncRNA from 1 species
CCACCACAACGGAGGCCUGAACAGUGUCAUCUGGGACAUGUCCCAGGUGCACCUCCCACUCAUUGGCUGCCUUCGCCCUCCCUGGUGGAGCAUUACCAAGGAGGACUAGUUCCACAAAUAUUUUUCUUAACAGUUCUUUGGGGCUAUAGGAAACUUAACUUCCCCCAUCCUGCUAGUCAGCCACAACAUGUUAUUGUCACUGUUUGCAAAGUGCUGUUUAAUCUUUGUUGUUGAAUCAUUUUUAACAUCCCCACCUGGAAGGCAAGUGCUCAUUUCUCCUUCUCAUGUGUGUCGUUAACUUACUUACCCUAAAUCACCCAUGCGGACUCCACCCAUGACCAGCCCCAUCCUAUCCCAGCCUAAUCCUUAGGCAACCGAGGCAGAGAAAACUCUAUGGCGAAGUCAACAGAAGGGUAUUAAUUCUAAUUAAUUCUAAUUACCCAAUACACCUUUGUGGAGCAUUGCGAUAGGGACCAUAGCGUAUUGACUAAAACUCCAUAGUCCUGUAGUCAAGGAACUACAGUUAUAGGAUCAAGAGGUACGGAAUUAAGGCCUGAACAGAAAGAAGACUGAGGCUGCAGCAAGUGCGCCAUGAAUCCGCCAUAUUCUGUAGAAGCCCCACGCCUGUUGAUUUGGUGUUUAUGAUACAUUCAAUGAUUUAACAAAUAUCAGCUGUGUCAGGUGCCAGGCAUUGCCCCAAGCACAGGAGACGCUGGGAUGCAUAAGAUAACACCAGCUGGAGUUGGCUUUGGGGCUGUUACUUCUUUCCCAUGAUCAGUCAUGCAUUUUUGUGGUAUUGAUCCUUGGCCCAGACCCUGACUGGCUAAAGCCAAUAAUUCUAUCCCAUCGCAUCUCUCUGGCCGCCAUUAUUUGAUCCAUGAUGGCAGAAACCCAGUCAGAACCACUGAAACCUGUGGAGAAGUCUUCUAGGGCUUCUGGGAAAAAGAAAGUUCUCUCCCCUCCUUGAAAGCCACUCCUUCUGUGAUCCGUAUGGUGUGAAGACAUAAAGACCUGAACAGCUUCUUUACUACUAGGUCAGAAGACCACGGAACUGCCAAUGGGAAGCCAUUUGAGGCCUGAAGAAGCAAGUGAUGCUUUGGAAUGCAAAGAGGAAAUAUGGAAAGGAACAAAACUGGUCCUUGAUGAUUCUAGAUCAAACUGUACCUGAAGCUGGUCCUGCCUCUGGCCUUUUCACUGACGCAAGUUUAUACAUCCCGUUAUUCUUCAAGCCAGUUUGAGUUGGAUUCCCUGUCAUUUUCAAUGGAAAGAUUUUUAACUCACCAUUUGCUUUUGUCAAAUUGAUGAUGACAUAUUAAUACCUUUUCAAUGAGUGAUGCUGGGAAAAUGGGGCCAUGCUGUGGGUUUCUGCUUCACUGUUUUCUUUAGUAUGUUGUUUUCAAUUGGAAUGAAUACCUUCUUAAAUCAUUUUCUUAGUGGUCUCCUUGUCCACACUUUACAACACAGAUCAAGUAUCACUUUCCCUAUGAAUUCAUUACUGAGCAAGAAUGAUAAACACUGGAAUUUUAGAUCUGUUGAGACUGUCCCAAGUAAAAGUUGAGUACUUGUUUUAAGUUAGAUAGACAUGAUUUUGAAACCUGACUCUCUAAUUUACUAGCUGUGUGACUUUCGACAAUUUGCCUAAACUCUCUAAGAUACUUCUCCCAACCUGUAAAAAUCCUGUUAAUAAUAGCAUCUUAUCCCAGACAACUUUUGUGAAGAUAAAAUGAAAUAGUUCAUGUACAACAAUUACCAAGGUGCUUGACACAGAAUAAAUGCUCAAUAAAUGUUGAUGCUGUUGUUAGUGUUAACAACUUAUCAAGGAACCUACCAUCUAGAAAGAGUCCAAUAAAUCUAAUCUGCAGUUGUUAGUACGAUAAAUAUCUGCUAUCUGAGUAAUUUAAAAAGUCAUGAAUAAUGUUUGAAUGAAUAUGAGUUAAUUAAAAUAUAAUUCAAUGAAAAAAUGAAUGAAUGAAUGAAUGGCAGCUGGAAACUGAGAGGCAGGGACACAAGUAGAGGGGCUGGGCCAGAGGAUACGAAGGAGGAAGAAAGAACUGAAAGAUACCCUGUGCUUGAUGAGAAUGCCCUUCCCAUGAUCUGUGUCCCCGUCAGGUGGAAUGUUCUGCAGUGCCGCUCCCUUCAUCCUCUCAUCACUGCGGGUCAUCUGUCGGAAGCUUCUUGAUGGGCAGCUUUACAGACAGCCAUAAAGCGGCAUUUAUGGCCAAAGCCAUCAUAUUUCGUUGAGCUCUGUGCUUAGGGUGUCUACACUAUUUUCUCUCUUUUCUCUGGGUCCUAGUCACUCUGCAAAGAAGAAAUUUAGCAGAGAUGGCUGAAUUCCUUCUCAUGGUUCUGCAUAGCCUCUGAGAUAAAAUGCAAGAAACCUCAAGAACCAGAAGGCCAUUAAGAAUAAAUAGGAUAAUGUGGACGUUUACUGAGUACUUACUUUAGUCCAGGCCUAAAGACUUGGCCGUCCAAGAUAACUCACCAUCUUGAGCUGUGGACCAGCUCAUGCAGUCUUCACCACUGUAUAUGCAGCUACGUACAGUAGCUCAACUUUGCUGAUGAAGAAACAGAGACACGUCAAGGUUGUGUUCCAUGUUCAAUGUCACAGGGAGCUGACACGAUGUUCACCCAGGUAGUCCACAUCCAGAACCUGUGCUCCAGGGAGCUCUAGGCUCCACUGUGUCUACACAAUGUGUCGACUCCUAUGGCACUUGAAGCUACAAACACAGUUGUCCCUCUAUUUCCCCUUAGACUCCACAACAAUGGACUCUACAGAAGUAAGUUUCUUAAAAUAAAAUUCUUCAAAUGUGGACACAUUAGAGACACUUUGAGAUGAUUUCAAGAGCUCCUAUUUAUAGAUUUCUUUGAAAAAGAGUUUUUACAAAUUUCCCUUUUUCCAUUGAUCCUUAAUAAGCAGUAGACAGACACUUCGACUCCUGUUUGGACUUGAACUUCACGGGACCAUGCAGCAUUCUUGGUGGAACUGGCACUGAGCAAAUUAGUUCCCAUCACUGAAUCUGGAUCAUGUAACAUCUGGGGCAGCCAAAUUCCACCAAGCAGAUUAAGCACAGAGUUUUGAAGGAAACCUCCACUGCGUGUAGAGGAUGGGAGAGACGGUGCCCUCACCGCCCAGGAUGGAAACUGGAGGGUGAGACUGUUCCUCCAUCAACCCUCCGGCAGCCACAAGAUUGCAGUCUGUCCGAUCAGAUCUAAUGGACCAGUGUUCAGCAAACCACACCUGCAAACAGGAGCCUAAAAGACCAAGCAUCAGCUUACAAAUUGUGUUACCGAACCAGCUUCAUUUUUGCCCAUCAUCUGGAAAGCCAAAUACGGAGGUGCCAAGAUUGCAGCAGAAAGGGAGUUUAAUCACAAGGCAGCUAAGUGAGGAAACAGGAGAACGAGUUUCAAAUCCACCCCCCUGAAAAAGGGGACUUAGGAAUAUUUAUGGGGUAGGGAGGUAAGGAGGUCUGAAAUGUGGAGAGAGGAGAGUGGAGGUGAGAUAACUGAUGAUCUGUGCAAGCAUAGUUCGGACUCCACGCCUCUUCAUAGGACGCAUGUUCACAAAAUGGCAUUGUUAGCAUGAUCCAAGGGUAGAGGUUUUAGCCUCUUGAUGUCAAAAAAUCACUUAAUGGACAUCUGUAUGCGUCCACUUGAUGGGUUGGUGGUCUCAACUGACCUGAAGUGGACAAAGGGAUUCCAAUGCCUCAAAAACAGCUCAAACACCCAUUACCAUGGUGACCCAGGUGCCAGGGAGAUGUUAUCUAUAGGAGCCUGGUGGGAGUCAGAUAGGAUAUUGCCUAAACAGCACAGUUAACAAUGGGCAGGUAAACAGCUAAAAACAAUAAUCAGUAACUGCAAAAAGGAAAAAAAACCAAAACCUU